CGGGUGACGGAGAAUUAGGGUUCGAUUCCGGAGAGGGAGCCUGAGAAACGGCUACCACAUCCAAGGAAGGCAGCAGGCGCGCAAAUUACCCAAUCCCGACUCGGGGAGGUAGUGACAAUAAAUAACAAUGCCGGGCUAUUGUAGUCUGGCAAUUGGAAUGAGUACAAUCUAAAUCCCUUAACGAGGAACAAUUGGAGGGCAAGUCUGGUGCCAGCAGCCGCGGUAAUUCCAGCUCCAAUAGCGUAUAUUAAAGUUGUUGCAGUUAAAAAGCUCGUAGUUGGAUUUCGGGGUGGCCUGCCUGGUCCGCAAGGUGAGUACUGGUCAGCCGCCCUUCCUCUCGAAAGCCCCGACUGCUCUUCACUGUAGUGGUCGGGUAGUUCGGGACGUUUACUUUGAAAAAAUUAGAGUGUUCAAGGCAGGCUAUCGCCUGAAUACAUUAGCAUGGAAUAAUGGAAGAGGACCUCGGUCUAUUUUGUUGGUUUCUAGGGCCGAAGUAAUGAUUAAGAGGGACAGUUGGGGGCAUUCGUAUUUUCAGAGGUGAAAUUCUUGGAUUUAUGAAAGACGAACUAGUGCGAAAGCAUUUGCCAAGGAUGUUUUCAUUAAUCAAGAACGAAAGUUGGGG
rnacentral:rRNA from 1 species